GAUGAACGCUGGCGGCAUGCCUACUACAUGCAAGUCGAACGAGAGGAAGGAAAGCUUGCUUUUCUGAAUCUAGUGGCGAACGGGUGAGUAACACGUAGGUAACCUGCCCAUGUGCCCGGGAUAACUUCUGGAAACGGAUGCUAAAACCGGAUAGGUAGCAGACAAGCAUUUGACUGCUAUUAAAGUGGCUAAGGCCAUGAACAUGGAUGGACCUGCGGUGCAUUAGCUAGUUGGUGAGGUAACGGCCCACCAAGGCGACGAUGCAUAGCCGGCCUGAGAGGGCGGACGGCCACAUUGGGACUGAGACACGGCCCAAACUCCUACGGGAGGCAGCAGUAGGGAAUUUUCGUCAAUGGGGGGAGCCCUGAACGAGCAAUGCCGCGUGAGUGAGGAAGGUCUUCGGAUCGUAAAGCUCUGUUGUAAGAGAAAAACGACAUUCAUAGGGAAUGAUGAGUGAGUGAUGGUAUCUUACCAGAAAGUCACGGCUAACUACGUGCCAGCCGCUGCAGUAA
rnacentral:rRNA from 1 species